rnacentral:rRNA from 1 species
GAUGAACGCUGGCGGCGUGCCUAAUACAUGCAAGUCGAGCGAACGGACGAGAAGCUUGCUUCUCUGAUGUUAGCGGCGGACGGGUGAGUAACACGUGGAUAACCUACCUAUAAGACUGGGAUAACUUCGGGAAACCGGAGCUAAUACCGGAUAAUAUUUUGAACCGCAUGGUUCAAAAGUGAAAGACGGUCUUGCUGUCACUUAUAGAUGGAUCCGCGCUGCAUUAGCUAGUUGGUAAGGUAACGGCUUAUCAAGGCAACGAUGCAUAGCCGACCUGAGAGGGUGAUCGGCGACACUGGAACUGGGACGCGGUCCAGACUCCUACGGGAGGCAGCAGUAGGGAAUCUUCCGCAGUGGGCGAGAGCCUGACGGAGUAACGCCGCGUGAGUGAUGACGGUCUUCGGAUCGUAAAGCUCUGUUAUUAGGUAAGAACAUAUGUGUAAGUAACUGUGCAGAGCUUGACGGUACCUAAUCAGAAAGCAACGGCUAACUACGUG